GAUGAACGCUAGCGGCAGGCCUAAUACAUGCAAGUCGAGGGGCAGCGCGGUAGCAAUACUGGCGGCGACCGGCGCACGGGUGCGUAACACGUAUGCAACCUACCUUCAACUGGAGGAUAGCCCGGGGAAACUCGGAUUAAUACUCCAUAACACAGGGAUCCCGCAUGGGAAUAUUGUUAAAGCUACGGCGGUUGAAGAUGGGCAUGCGUUCGAUUAGCUAGUUGGUGUAGGUAACGGCUCACCAAGGCUACGAUCGAUAGGGGGUCUGAGAGGAUGAUCCUCCACACUGGUACUGAGAUACGGACCAGACUCCUACGGGAGCAGCAGUAGGGAAUAUUGGUCAAUGGGCGCAAGCCUGAACCAGCCAUGCCGCGUGCAGGAAGAAGGCCCUCUGGUUGUAAACUGCUUUUGAUAGGGAACAAAUGCCACUUGCGAGUGGAGCUGAGUGUACCUAUA
rnacentral:rRNA from 1 species